rnacentral:rRNA from 1 species
CCUACGGGCGGCAGCAGUGAGGAAUAUUGGUCAAUGGCCGGAAGUCUGAACCAGCCAAGCCGCGUGAAGGACGAAUGUGCCAAGCGUUGUAAACUUCUUUUAUCAGGGGACAAAGUCCAGCUCGAAAGCCUUACCGAGUGUACUUGAAGAACAAGCAUCGGCUAACUCCGUGCCAGCAGCCGCGGUAAUACGGGGGAUGCGAGCGUUAUCCGGAUUUAUUGGGUUUAAAGGGAGCGUAGGCGGACGGUUAAGUCAGGUGUGAAAGCCCGGGGCUCAACCCCGGGAGAGCCGUUGAAACUGGCUGUCUUGAGAGGACGAGAGGUAUGCGGAAUGCGCAGUGUAGCGGUGAAAUGCUUAGAUAUCGCGCAGAACUCCGAUUGCGAAGGCAGCAUACUGG